rnacentral:misc_RNA from 1 species
UCAGCACUUGAUAGAUAUGCUUCGUAGUAUCUCGUUAUUAGUCCCCAAACAUGGUUCGAUGGGUGGAAAAGAUACCGGCCCAGAUGAUGGAAGACGGUGUCUUUUUGGGGGAACAAGUUACUGAGUUCGUGCUCAAACGAUGGGAUCAAGAAGAGAGAUGGAACAAAGUAGUUAUCUGUCUUCAGUAUUAGCCAAGGGAUCCUG